GUUCUCAUCUGAGGCCGGUCAUCGGAAUGGGUACAAUUUAAACCCUUUAACGAGUAUCUAUGAGAGGGCAAGUCUGGUGCCAGCAGCCGCGGUAAUUCCAGCUCUCAAAAUGCAUAGAAUUAUUGCUGCGGUUAAAAAGCUCGUAGUUGGAUCUGUGCUGAGCGACCGGUCUGCCCACUGGGCACGCACUGGCUCGCCCGGCUUUCCCUGCCGGUCUCUCUCUGACGUUGGUUUUAACCGGCUGGCGUCAGUGGGCUGGCGAGUUUACUUUGAACAAAUCAGAGUGCUUCAAACAGGCGUCUCGCCUGAAUGUUCGUGCAUGGAAUAAUAGAAGAGGAUCACGGUCCGAUUUUAUUGGUUUUGCUGACCGAGAUAAUGGUUAACAGAGACAAACGGGGCCAUUCGUAUUGCUACGUGAGAGGUGAAAUUCUUGGACCGUAGCAAGACGGACUACAGCGAAAGCAUUUGGCAAGAAUGUCUUCAUUAAUCAAGAACGAAAGUCAGAGGUGAAAUUCUUGGACCGUAGCAAGACGGACUACAGCGAAAGCAUUUGGCAAGAAUGUCUUCAUUAAUCAAGAACGAAAGUCAGAGGUUCGAAGGCGAUCAGAUACCGCCCUAGUUCUGACCGUAAACGAUGCCAACUAGCGAUCCGCCGGCGGAUUCAUUCGCCCUGGUGGGGAGCUUCCCGGAAACGAAAGUCUUCCGGUUCCGGGGGAAGUAUGGUUGCAAAGCUGAAACUUAAAGGAAUUGACGGAAGGGCACCACCAGGAGUGGAGCCUGCGGCUUAAUUUGACUCAACACGGGGAAACUCACCCGGCCCGGACACCGUAAGGAUUGACAGAUUGAUAGCUUUUUCAUGAUUCGGUGGAUGGUGGUGCAUGGCCGUUCUUAGUUCGUGGAGCGAUUUGUCUGGUUUAUUCCGAUAACGAGCGAGACUCUGGCCUACUAAAUAGUUGGCACAUUGCCACUGUGUGCACAACUUCUUAGAGGGAUUUUCGGUGUUCAGCCGCACGAAAUUGAGCAAUAACAGGUCUGUGAUGCCCUUAGAUGUCCGGGGCUGCACGCGCGCUACACUGGCAAAAUCAGCGUGCUUGUCCUCCCCCGAAAGGGGUUGGUAAACCGAUGAAAAUUUGCCGUGAUUGGGAUCGGACAUUGCAAUUAUUGUCCGUGAACGAGGAAUCCCUUGUAAGGGCGAGUCAUCAACUCGUCCUGAAUACGUCCCUGCCCUUUGUACACACCGCCCGUCGCUGCCCGGGACUGAGCCAUUUCGAGAAAACCGGGGAUUGUUGGCCUGACGGCUCUCGGGUCGUCUAGCCGAUGAGAACCGGCUUAAUCGCACUGGUUUGAACCGGGCAAAAGUCGUAACAAGGUAGCUGUAGGUGAACCUGCUGCUG
rnacentral:rRNA from 1 species